rnacentral:rRNA from 1 species
UACGUAGGUGACGAGCGUUAUCCGGAAUACUGGGCGUAAAGCGCACGCAAGCGGUUGGACAAGUCUGGCGUGAAAUCCCCGGGCUCAACCUGGGAAUUGCGAUGGAGACUGCAAGGCUAGAAUCUGGCAGAGGGGGGUAGAAUUCCACGUGUAGCAGUGAAAUGCGUAGAGAUGUGGAGGAACACCGAUGGCGAAGGCAGCCCCCUGGGGUCAAGAUUGACGCUCAUGCACGAAAGCGUGGGGAGCAAACAGGAUUAGAGUACCCGU